CCCGGGCCAGUUCCAGGGUCCCUGGCAUCUGCCACGGCCACGCGCGCGGCGAUCCUCGGAAGCAGCGGCGGGCGCCUCCCAUUCCAAAAUCACCAAACCUUACCACCCACGGCCACGCGGCGUCUACACCGGCGUGCCAGGCGCAGGCGCUGGGCGGCUGGGAGCCUUACGGCCUUGCCUGCUGUCGCGGCUGGGCGGCAGCCAGCAGCGCGCCUGGGCCGCUUGGCGGCAGCGGGCGGCCGGCUGCUGGGGUCUGGAACGCUGCCGCGCUGGGAGAGUUCGAGGCAGGAGCUGGCCUGGUCGAUUGGAGUCUGUGAACUGUGAAUUUUGUAAGUUAAUUCGGUUAAUUGGCUUCCCGUUUCAAUAUACUAUCGAAUGCAAUUUUGUGAAUGUUUGUGAAACUACGACAGUAAGGCUAAGGCCUUGGUCAUUGCUUGAGUGAUGAUUUACUGAUUUUAGGUCGCCGGUUUACUUCUACAGUAUACGUUAAACAAAGUUAUGCUCAAUUCUCUGAAUGUAUGAUUUUUUUUUUAACACCAUGAAUAUAUGAAAUUAUUGUGUUCAUUUAUGUGUUAUAUCUACUUUUUAUUAUACAAUCAGUACUAGGCGGUGUAAUACCCUCCCAAUAUUAGUCUUUAGGACACACACAAAAAAAUUUGACAACCCUCACAAUCUUAGGUGACCCUUACCCGGAAGUCAAGCUGCUGCCACCAGAUCUGCUAUCUCACGGGUCACCACCAUGCCCUUCGUGCACUUGCCUGGGUUGGCUACUGGCGGGUGCCAGGUGGUGUUGGUGCCUGCUCCCCACGUGUUCUAUGGGAUGCCUAUUAAGAAGAGAACCGAGGGACUGCAGCUGUAAUUAGUUUGUCUCUUGUCCUUAAAUAAAUUUCCUAAAUUGUUUUUUGCAUUGCUGUUUGAUUGCAGUGUGUUCUAUGUGCUUGCAUUACAUGUCUUAGUAGAGUAGCUUGGCACUGCUAUGCAACACAUAUAACCUUGUGCUCUGGAAAUGAUAAUGGAAGUAAAUAUUUUGCCGUACAUAGAGUUCUUGCCCUGUGUCGAAUACAGUAGCAUCUCAUCAUGUACAUAUUUAAAAACAAAAGAUCUCGAUGAUAAUACUUUUUUCAAGUUACAGUACUCUACACAAUGUGAUGAACAGAAAUAUUUGGAAACGCAACCCCAAUUCGAUCACUGUCAUGAACCAGAAUACAUUUGCAGUAGCAAAACAGAAAUCCAACUUGCUGUCAUGAAUGAUGAAUUGGAACACUAAUACAAUGGCAGAACACAAAUCUGAUCUGUGUGUGACUCUCAAUGGGCAUGUGCUGAGUUGUGCUUCAGCACGGUGAAGAACAGGAAAGCGAGCACAGCAAACAUAAUGUUCAUCCCUGCUAAGGUUACCACAUCAGUGCUUAUCAUCUUCGCACUCAAGGACCGUAUGUGUGCUAUCCUUUCCCACACAUAUGAGCCAUCAGGGAGCUGUGGACACUGGCAUUGUCUCUUGCACUUGGAUGUGUCGCAGUAGAAACUUAUCACCGUCAGCACAUUCAUCACAUACUGAAACGGGUUCGUCCAGUACAUCCACUUGUAGAACCUAAUAUCGGAGAAGAGGACCACCACACCAGAGGUGGAGAUCCACAACGAUGUGAUUAUGGAGACGAGGAAGGCGGCGAGGAUCGGGCUCGGAGCCAGGAAUGUGAUCAUCAUGCCAAAGUAGGUCAUACAGAGGGUGAAAAGGCAGAGAACUGACCAGUAGGCCAGGAAAUCGGCAGCUGUCUGGGUUGCUAUCCCUGCCAUGCCAUUGCCAAUGCCCACGAAUGCCAAUGUUGCUAUUAGGAAGUAGGGAAUUUCACUGAUCACCCAUGACACAGGGUAGAUUAUUGGAAGGUACAUCUUGGACCUCAUUUCUCGGAAGUAGGCAAGCUUGUCGGUGCCAAUUUGAGGAAUCACGUUGUUAGCAGAUAUAACCCCAAUGAGUAUAGUUUGCAUGUAGAUGUACAGUGAUCUAGAAGUAACCUCAUAUGUGUCUUCAUACUUAAUCUUAAAAUAGAGUGAGCCCAUCAGUAAUCCAAUCAUCACACAGCCAGUAAACCUGCUGUAAGUGUAGUUCACGUUCCUCCAUAAGAACCUCUGUGUCCUCAACAAAACCAAUCCUAUUUGGCUUGUAAAUGACGCUGGAUAGUUGUAACUGAUGGAUCUCAUGUUAUUGUCCUUUUCAUUUCCAUGUUUGUUGUUCUUCAUAGCAGCGUUAAUGACCUUCAUGGCCACCUCAUACAAAUGACUUUUCUGAAACUCGUCUGCAAAAUCUAUCACUGCAAGUUUUUUUCUUGGAAUUCCAAGUCCAGUUACACCCAUAACAAAACUGAUAGGAUUCUGUGUCUGAAGGUAGUGAGGAACCCUUGGGAUCGCGGUAAAGUAUCCAAGUAUUUCAUGGCAAUUGAGUCCUACUGGGCCAAAGUAAGCUUGGCGGCCUUCUUGAGUUAGGAUGAUGACUUGAUGGAAGUGUGAAAGUGCACGGGUGUUGGGAUAGUUAAAUGUUGCGAUGACUGAUUGACCGCAAACUGGUAAUUUUGAUAAUAUGCUCAAGAUUGCUGAGGUUCCAGACGAAUCAAGACCUGAAAGAGGCUCCUCAAGGAAUAGAAUACUUGGGUUUGCUGCGAGUUCAACUGCAAUUGUGAGCUUCUUAGCUACUUCAAAUGUUUUCCCAGUUCCAUCUCUCAGGGAACCAACCAAGUUAUUGGCAUAAUACUGCAAGCCCAGCUGGUCAAGAACUAACUCAACAUGCAUAUGCCUUCUUGCUUUGCUUAUGCUGUUUGUUAGUCUAAGGUUGGCACUGAAUUCAAGUGACUCGCGUAUGGUAAGGUAAGGUUGAUGUGCAUCAAGCCGCUCAGCAUAGCCCACUCUUCUUGAGAAAUCAGCACAAGGUUUGGUGCCAUUGACUUGGAUAUCUCCAGUAAAACUACCACCUAGAGGUGUCCUACCAGAAAGGCAUUUUAGCAGUGUAGCUACACUUCCAUUAGCACCCCCUACAAGAGCUAGCAUAAUUCCUGGUCUUGCACAUCCACUGACAUUCUCAAACUCUGUAGCUUCUUCCUUUGUUACCUUUCCACACCUGUCACCGAAAAGCCUUGUCAUACUGCAUGUGAUAAGGAAUUAAAGUAUAUUUUUUAAAAACUUUAUUGCCCUUGUCUCUAUCUUCAUGAAGCUGCAUUUAAUCAUGUAUUAUUUUUGUAAUUUGUUAGUUCCAUUUGUGUCACUUCAUAAAAUGUUCUACUCUGAAUAAUAUUUUGCUAACUUUCAAGUGCACACUUUAUGAAACAGUGCACUAGUGUAGAAUUGCAGCACAAUUAAUUGGAAAAUUACCUGACAAAUGAUAGAUCCAAGAAUGAUAAAGUCAUCAGUGUGACUGGUAUUGUCAACUGUUCUGGAUCAAUUUUAACUCUAAAUUCUUCCCUCCAGCUCCUGACACUCACAUUCUCAUCCUCAGAAAUUACUGUUGUGGAACUAGAUGCUAACUUUGGUGACUCCAGAAACUUGUAUCUUCCUGACUCAAUAGAAGCUUCCAUAUAACUCUCAGUUGAACUUGAAUAAAUCUCCACAUCAUACAAAUAGUUCUUUGAAAGCUUCCUUUGGUUAAUCUGUGGCACAGAUUGACUGAUUUGCGAAAACUCUACCUUAUUUAGGAAUAUCAAUGCCAUUAACAGAGCAAGUAGAGUCCAACCAAUUAGAAUUAUAUAAGGGACCCAAGGCUUUACUGAAACAGCUGUCAACAGUUCAGCAUAGAUUAAGUAGGCCUUGCCAGUAGCCAUCUCUGGAUUUUCCUUGCAGAAAGUAAGUUGGUUUAGAUAUUUGUUGCAGAAGUCUUUGUAACCAUAUGAGAACUGUCGAUCGCAGAAGGACAUAUUGGCCCAACGAAUUGGAUUGAUGUGCAUUAGCCACUUCCAGUAUUGAGGGAUAUUAGAUGGGAAAAUCACAAAUCCACUGAACAGAAGGAAAAUGGAGACUAUGAGGCCUGCAUGCAGGUAGCAGUUCGAAACAGUAUAUCAGAUGAAAUGUACAUGUUAAUUUUGAUAGAACUACAGAGUUUAAAACAGGAUAACCCAAGUUUUGUAAUGCCAUCUUCUCAUACUUAAAGUUACAAAGAUGGGAAAAAACUAAUUACCUGCCAAAGCAUUUGCUGCUUCAGGAAUGGGUGCUACUGCACUCAGAAAGAAGAAGAAUGAUGAUCCAAAGUAAGCCACGAGAAACAUCAGAACUAAGUAGUCAAUGAACGCUACUCCAUUGUUUUCCAAUGUCAGACCCGCUAGAAAAUACACACAAACUGAAUAGCAGAAUGCCUGCAUUACACAUAAUAUGUUUGCAUUAUACAACCUUUGUUGUCAUAGUGAUGAAGCUAGAAAGUAAUAUGGUUGUUAUGUUUAGGAUCAAGUACCAUUUAGACUGCAUAUAUGUGCAGAUGUUAACUAUUGGCAACAAAAGGUUGAAGGAUGAGAUUACCUCAGUAAAAGCCUGGGGUAGAUUACUAAUGCAAUGAGCUACAACAUAAGAGGAUGUCCUGAAAAAUCUUUGGUCCCUAUGUUUAUAGAAUGUGGGUCUUUGAAGCAUAUAUAGAGGUAGCUGAGGCAUAUUUAUGAGCAAAAUGCUCAUGCUGGUUACAAAUCCUAGCGCUCUCACAGAGUUCAUGUGUUGAAGAUUAUACUGCCCACCAAACUUGUAGAACAGUGUCCCUGCAAAUAUACCAAGAAUGCAUGCCUGAAAAAAGAACUUUAGUAAUGUACCUUAUCCUACCAUGAUAAACCAAUGAGCCGAUUCAUCUGCCAUGUUUGUUUAACAAUAAUUGGCAAACCUGGAUGAUUCUGAGUAUGCUCAACAUUUGAAGUUGUUUCAAGAUCCUAAGCUGUCUCUGGAUCAGGGUUCUUGUUGAUUUCCACCAUGGUUGCACAUACGGCCUCUUAAAUUUCUCCCAUCGUAAUUCAUCCUCAUUGCUCUAUGGUUUUUUUAUUUAUCAAAUGAGAAAUACUUCAGUACUGAAUUAUUGGAUAAUUCUUCAAGUUCAUCGUGACAAAAUUUUGAAACCCAAUUUACUUAUUAUUUACCACUGAUAAUCAGAAGAAUAAGGUCUGAAGAAAACAUUAAUACUUUCACUUGCCUUAUGGUCAGGUCGUUCAAGUUGAAGGCGGAUAUGUCCCCGGGCAUGAAGUAGAUUGGAGAAAACUUGAUCUAGAUGUUGCUGUUGGUCAAACAUUGGCCCAGUCACUAGAUACUGCAUUGGCUCUUCGUUUAUGGAAAUUCCUGUUACCACAUCGCCUACUUGGAUGUUCCCUGUACUUUCAAACCCAGUGGCAGAUCCAGAUUUGUUCAGAAGCUUUGCCACAACUAUUUCUGAAUGUAAAAAUGAGAUCGUUAAUACAGUGUUAGUCUUAACGUAUAUACAAAUAGUUAGUUGUACACUGUAUGGCAACUUGACCAAAAAAACUGACCCAUUUCUUGAUGUUCUGCAAUUGAGUUUAAGGUGCUUGAUUCUUUCAGGGAUAAGCCGAUUCCUGGCUCACUCUCAACCCAGUAUGUACUGAACUCCUUGUUCUUUCCAAUGACCCUUAUGAUAUCCAGGUAAUGGUCAGAUGAGUAGUAGCAUUCCACAAGCUCCUCCAAACCUCUAGGAGUUAACCUUGGUAAUAGGUACUGCAUUCCAUUUUCAGCAGCAAUAUCUUGAAGAAACUCCCAGGAUUCGACAUGCGAUGGCUUCAUAUACCUAAUAGCAGUUUUUUUUAUUAAAUGUGUAUUGUCAACAAAUUCACCUGAAUAUUUGAGAAGAACAUGUGUGGCUAGUUACCCUAUUUUAGCAAAGUAUGUGACUGCGUCCUGUCUUGGCCCUUGGUACAGCACAUGCCCUUCUCCCAGUAGGAUGAUCCUGUCGAAGAGGUCAAAUGCUUCUUGCGAGAGGUGGUUGAGGGCCAUGACUGCAGAUGAUUGUUGGAUUCUACAGACAGCCCUGAUAGUAUUGACCAAAUCAUAGGUCAUUGCCAGGUCUGAGCCUGUUAAUGGCUGGUCAUAGACCAUAACUGAGUAGGUCCCUAGUGCAAGUUCAGCUGUUGUCAGUUUAUCCCUGUCAGUAUCUGAUAUCCCACUAACAAGGUGAUUCUCUAUUUUCUUCAGGUCAAGAAUCUGCAUCACAUAUUCAAGGAAAGGAUCUUGUCCUUCUACAAGCGCAUAGGCAAAGAACUUUCGCAUCUGUGGAGUAAAGUUCUCAGGCCGGAGAACCUGCAUGCAGUCCCUUGCGAACUCAAGAGUUUCUCGGACUGAGAGGAAGGGGAUGUGCCUGGGGGUAGAAACCAGAGUUAAGGAUGCUGUUCUUGAAAGUAACAGAAUGAGAGAUUACGAAAGCAAGAAUAUGUGGCAGAUGUGCAAAUUUAACUUUUAUCCCUUUUUGUUCUCUUCACAAAUAAACCUGUGAUAACAUAGCUAGACCUAAGUUCUUUGUUACUUUUUUUUCCUGUAACUAACCCAUCUCAAGUAAAUGCGAAGAGGGUUUUUGUGUACUUUCAUCACUAAAUAUUGUUAUAACCUUUUGAUUUCCAUGUCUUCUCCCAAUUUUGCCCAAAGGAAAGGAACAUUUUGUUAGAGAGCUUGAUUUCAGUUUCUAGUGAUAACCUAAGCUCAUAGCAUUUAGAUGAGGUUGUUUUGCUGGGUUUUACAAUCUUGCAAUCUAUAUCUUCUCUAGUUCUUACUUGUUGAGCUGUCCACAGACAUAGGCAAUUAGUCGACUCUUUCGAACUUCAGAUGCUGUCUUUUCAUUGUAGUUGACUAUGCCUGACAGCCCAGCAUCUUGGCCUGGAUCGGCUCUACCGGCAAGUAUCUUCAGUAAGGUGCUCUUUCCACUGCCUGGACAUGGCAGAGAUUGGUAACAGUAAGUGAUAAAAUGCUCAUAUAAAUACUGGUUUACUUUGAGGGGGAAUUUGUGUUUGGUUUUACAAGGUUUGACUUACAAACAAAUUAAGAUCCCUAUAGUUUUAAAUUUAGGGGGAAUUUUGAUCCUCUCCAAUGACAAGGAACAUUUUUGCACUUAUAUUCGAAUCCUAUGAUGAAAAAAAAAUACUUAUUCUGAAAUUUGAACGCAGGAAAACACUGUGCAUGCUUGAAUUGAACAAGGUUAAUUACCAGGCGGACCAAGGACUAGAGUCAUAGAACCCGGCAUGAUGUAGCCAUCAAUUCCCUUCAAGAUUUCAAGCUGUGCUGGUUGCUUGCUCAGGGACAGGCUUCUUAUUGGUUGCACAAAGUUUUCAAGCACCUUGUUGCCGAAGGUCUCAUAGCUGAAGGCAGCUGUCUCGAUCUUUGCCAG
rnacentral:lncRNA from 1 species